rnacentral:misc_RNA from 1 species
UAUAGAGGGUCUGAUCGUUAUUCGGCUUUACUGGGCGUAAAGCGUGCGUCAGCGGCUUUUUAAGUCGGAUGUGAAAUCCCCGAGCUUAACUUGGGAAUUGCAUUCGAUACUGGGAAGCUAGAGUAUGGGAGAGGAUGGUAGAAUUCCAGGUGUAGCGGUGAAAUGCGUAGAGAUCUGGAGGAAUACCGAUGGCGAAGGCAGCCAUCUGGCCUAAUACUGACGCUGAGGUACGAAAGCAUGGGGAGCAAACAGG